CGGAGGAUGCAAGCGUUAUCCGGAAUGAUUGGGCGUAAAGCGUCCGCAGGUGGCAGUUCAAGUCUGCUGUCAAAGACCGGGGCUUAACUUCGGAAAGGCAGUGGAAACUGAACAGCUAGAGUAUGGUAGGGGCAGAGGGAAUUCCUGGUGUAGCGGUGAAAUGCGUAGAUAUCUGGAGGAACACCGGUGGCGAAGGCGGCAUCCUGGACCAACACUGACGCUGAGGAGCGAAAGCCAGGGGAGCAAACGGG
rnacentral:rRNA from 1 species